GCAGACGGCGGAGAGCAGAGAGGGAGCGCGCCUUGGCUCGCUGGCCUUGGCUGCGGCUCCUCGGGAGAGCUGGGGCGCCCACGAGAGGAUCCCUCACCUGGGUCUCUCCUCAGGGAUGACAUCGUCCGUCCACCUCCUUGUCUUCAAGGACCACCUCCUCUCCAUGCCGAGCUGCUGCCAAGGGGCCUGCUGCCCAUCUACACCUCACGAGGGCACUAGGAGCACGGAUUCCUGGAUCCCACCAACAUACAAAGCAGCCACUCACAGACCCCCAGGACCAGGAUGGCAAAGGAUGAAGAGGACCGGAACUGACCUGCCAGCUGUCCCUCUUACCUAAAGACUUAAACCAAUGCCCUAGUGAGGGGGCAUUGGACAUUAAGCCCUGACUUUUGCUAUGCUCAUGCUUUGACUCUAUGAGUACUUUCCUAUAAGUCUUCGCUUGUGUUCACCUGCUAGCAAACUGGAGUGUUUCCCUCCCCAAGGGGGUGUCAGUCUUUGUCGACUGACUCUGUCAUCACCCUUAUGAUGUCCUGAAUGGAAGGAUCCCUUUGGGAAAUUCUCAGGAGGGGGACCUGGGCCAAGGGCUUGACCAGCAUCCUGCUGGCAACUCCAAGGCCCUGGGUGGGCUUCUGGAAUGAGCAUGCUACUGAAUCACCAAAGGCAUGCCCCACCUCUCUGGAGAUCUUCCUAUCCUUUUCUGGGGAAUGGGGUCAAUGGGCGCAACCUCCUAGGGUUGUUGUGAGAAUUAAAUGAGAUAAAAGAGGCCUCAGGCAGGAUCUGGCAUAGAGGAGGUGAUCAGCAAAUGUUUGUUGAAAAGGUUUGACAGGUCAGUCCCUUCCCACCCCUCUUGCUUGUCUUACUCGUCUUAUUUAUUCUCCAACAGCACUCCAGGCAGCCCUUGUCCACGGGCUCUCCUUGCAUCAGGUAGGGGCUUUGCAGAGACCAUCGACGGGCUGACUUGAGUAAGAACACGAAUUAUGCAUGUGGUCAUUUCCAGAGCACUUUCUAUGUGAUACGAACAUGGGAUUUUUAUGUAAUAUGUGUAUGUAAACAAGGCAGCCUCAUUUCCAGGUGAGGAUGCAUUUGGUAGUAUUGAUUUUUGUAAUUUAAAAAAGCUGAAAGGGAGAGAGGACACGUGAGGACUGAACUCUCUGUCCCAUGGGGUAGGACUUAGAUUUACAUUAAAGAGACAGAAACUUGCUGGGAGGUGUAAGUAUUUGGUCACAUUGCUGGCAAGAGAAGAGGUUGGAGUUGGACCCAGGGUGCCACGCUAGCUACCCUCACCCCUUCUUCCCCUCUGGCUCAGAGUUAUACUAAAGAGUCCUUUUAUUUCAAACCAAAUGUUUGACAAUGGGACAGUCUGUUUGAAAUCCCAGCUGCCUGGGGUGGUCUUGGGGGUCUGGGUGGCCCCAGUGCUGGUACCAUGUGCUGGCUUCACCUUUUAAUAACGGUGUGACCUUAAACAAGUCGCUUAACUUCUGUAAGUUUCAGUUUCUUUCAUGGUCUAAAUGGAGAUUAAAACACUCACACACACACACACACACACACACACACACACUCUCUCUCACACACACCCUCGUGUAUCUACCCCACAGGGCGCUUUUGAAGACCAAAUGCUGUAACUACUAUGAAAGUGCUUUGUAAAUUGCUGUGGAAAGUGCGAGCUACUUAACCACCCGAGGCUGUCCCUCCUUGCUCACAUGUCCAGCCCAAUUCUCCCUUAGUGAGAACAGCACUCAGUAGGUGCUGUGUGUGUUUGUGUUCAAUUGAGAAAUUCCAGAAUAAAUAAAAAUGAAUUAAUUCAACAAACAUUUUCUGGAGCACCGACAAUCUGCCCAGUGCACCAGGCUAGGUAUCUGAUACAAAGAUAAUGAAAACAGUCUCUUGGAACCUAAUUGGGGUCCUCAUUUGACCAGGACUUUCUUUCGUCCCCUUUUAAGCCAACCAGUUUUGUCCGGACAAGACAAAAACAACUUGGGCUGCUUUAGAGAAGCCCAGCUCAGUGUAGACAAUAGCUGCCCAGCCUCUGAAAGGGGCUGAUUGGAUUAUGUGGCAAAUGGAGGUGCAAGGAUGACUUGGACGGUGACAAAUGAAGUGGGCGGAGACCUGCUUUGAGUUAAUCCAGGCUAUUAGGAGGGGACCUUUUGUCUUCCAGAGACUGGCAGGAGCUUUUACCAGUGGUUUUUACAUCCUUAAUGUUCAGGACGAAUAAUUUAUGGUCAGUGAAAAUCCAGGCCCCAGUGAGAUUCGAGUGGGCUGUAAAAUCGAGAGUCCUGCUCCCAGUGAGUAAUAGUAGUGAAUGUUUCUGUCACUUUUUGCAACCGUCCAUUCAUUUGAUCCUCACAACUCCCUGUCCUGAGCCAGGGCCGGCCCCUGUCACUUCUAGGGAAACAGAGGCUGUCAAGAGGCUCUACAGGUUAGGCCCCACUGGAUCAUUGAACCCCUGUUCCCUGAGUUCUAGAGGAAGAAUUGUACCUGUCUCAGUCCCGGCCAUCUCCAGAAAGCCUCCUUCUGCAUUUCUGACUUUGCUCUGCCCGCAGCCUGGAGCCUCCCAGGUCCUUGCUGUCAGCUUUUCUGGCCACUACAGUCUCUGUCUUUCCUUUCACAGCCAAGCUUCUUGAAAGGCCUGUCUACACUUGCUGUCUUCCUUCCUCACCUCCAAUUUCCUCUUCAAUCCACUGCUUCCUGACUCGCUCUACUCCGUGGAAGGGCACUCACAAAGGCACGUGGGCCGCGGCCCAGCUGGGUCGGCUGAAGAACUGCAGAUGGACGCUGUGGAAGAGGCCCUGAUGGGGACCACCAUCCCGGACCCGAGUCUUCUUCCUGGAGGGCCUCUCGUCUCCUUCCUCUUUUGGGCGGAAGCCAUCACCUGGAUUCCUACGUGGGAAGGGACCUCGAAUGUGCGACCCCAGCCCCUCUCCAGCUCGAAAUCGGCAGACUAGGAUGGAAGUGCCCUGCGAGCUGGGGGGCCCUUCAAAGGGCCAAGGAGAAAACGCAGGCCGAGGGACCAGCCUUCCAAAUGGGCUUCAAGCUCCAAUGACCUCCGCUCACCCCCUCGAAAUGUCUGGAAAACAUAAUGGGCAGAUUUUCUGUCUUCAAAGUUUCCGGCUAAACCUCUUCAAGUUCUUUAUUGUUUGGGACUGAGACACUCAGCCAUGGUAAUGGGUAGUUUCUUUUGUAUUUGCCUUGAAAGGCCAAAAUAUUUUUAUAUUGCCACAGACAAAGCCACCUAUUUAAAAAUGAACUCCAUGUCCGUCGUUUCCCACCAGGAGACUAUGUACCAUGUGUGUGUCUCUAUGUAUUCUGGGGUCUUGAAACAGGUUUCUCAUGGGGAUGGUCAUUCACCACGGUCCAGAGGGGCAGAACGGGCGGCGCUUGCCUUGCCCAGGGGGCCUGGGGAACGUGGGCCCUCAUCUCAGAUCUGCUCCCAGUAUGUCUAGGACGCGAGCCCCAGAAGGAUCUGGGAGUAAACUUAACAUUCACUGUGUCUCUGCUCUGCAUCCGCCAUUUGUGUGUGUUUCUGGACUGUGGACUGUGUGUACCUUGGUGGGUGACUCAGUGAGAAGAAGCAGGAAUGCCAAAGAUACUGUGAAUGUUCUGGGUUUUGUUGUUGUUGUUGUUGAGAGGUUGUUUCACUGGUGUCUAUUGCAUUAUAUAAUAAAUGACCAGAUGAAUGAAUGAGUGAAGCAAGAAAGAAUGAAUAAACAAAUAAAUAGGUAAAGAAGUAAGCAAGCCAGGAUGAGAGUGUGUGUACACAAGACCAUGGUUCAUCCACUUUGAUGCCUAGACAAUCAAUAUAUAAAUAGAAAAAACCCGGUGAACCACUAAGUAAUAGGGCAACACACAAAGCGAUAUCAGUUGAUUAUGGAAUAAGGGAUAUGUGUAAUUCAAAUAUAUGCCUCUGACAUUUGACAAUGACAAAGAACCUAAAUGAAAAAAAGAAUGGCUGUGUGAGUAGCGAAGUGCAGAAUGAGACAUAGAUUUUGAGUCAAAAUGAAAAGAUGCAAGCUAAGGAACAAGUGAUCAAAAGGGAGAAGGGAAAGGUUUUUUUAAAAAACCGAAGCAACAAAUAAAAGAAAGG
rnacentral:lncRNA from 1 species